GACGAACGCUGGCGGCGUGCUUAACACAUGCAAGUCGAACGGAAAGGCCCUGCUUUUGUGGGGUGCUCGAGUGGCGAACGGGUGAGUAACACGUGAGUAACCUGCCCUUGACUUUGGGAUAACUUCAGGAAACAGGGGCUAAUACAGGAUAUGAGCUUCUGCAGCAUGGUGGGGGUUGGAAAGUUUCGGCGGUUGGGGAUGGACUCGCGGCUUAUCAGCUUGUUGGUGGGGUAGUGGCUUACCAAGGCUUUGACGGGUAGCCGGCCUGAGAGGGUGACCGGCCACAUUGGGACUGAGAUACGGCCCAGACUCCUACGGGAGGCAGCAGUGGGGAAUAUUGCACAAUGAGCGGAAGCCUGAUGCAGCAACGCCGCGUGCGGGAUGACGGCCUUCGGGUUGUAAACCGCUUUCGCCUGUGACGAAGCGUGAGUGACGGUAAUGGGUAAAGAAGCACCGGCUAACUACGUG
rnacentral:rRNA from 1 species